rnacentral:rRNA from 1 species
GAUGAACGCUAGCGGCAGGCUUAACACAUGCAAGUCGAGGGGUAUAGUAGCAAUACUAGAGACCGGCGCACGGGUGCGUAACGCGUAUGCAAUCUACCUUUCACAGAGGGAUAGCCCAGAGAAAUUUGGAUUAAUACCUCAUAGUAUAGUAUCUUGGCAUCAAGGAACUAUUAAAGUCACAACGGUGAAAGAUGAGCAUGCGUCCCAUUAGUUAGUUGGUAAGGUAACGGCUUACCAGGACUACGAUGGGUAGGGGUCCUGCGAGGGAGAUCCCCCACACUGGUACUGAGACGCGGACCAGACUCCUACGGGAGGCAGCAGUGAGAAAUAUUGGACAAUGGGCGCAAGCCUGAUCCAGCCAUGCCGCGUGCAGGAUGACGGUCCUAUGGAUUGUAAACUGCUUUUGUACAGGAAGAAACACCCCGACGUGUCGGGACUUGACGGUACUGUAAGAAUAAGGAUCGGCUAACUCCGUGCCAGCCGCCGCGGUAA